GUGGGGAAUAUUGCGCAAUGGCCGCAAGGCUGACGCAGCGACGCCGCGUGUGGGAUGACGGUCUUCGGAUUGUAAACCACUGUCAGGGGGAACGAAUACCGGGCGGCGAAUAGCCGACCCGGGGUGACGGUACCUCCAAAGGAAGCACCGGCUAACUCCGUGCCAGCAGCCGCGGUAAUACGGAGGGUGCGAGCGUUGUCCGGAAUCACUGGGCGUAAAGGGUGCGUAGGCGGUUCGGUAAGUUGCUGGUGAAAUCCCGGGGCUCAACUCCGGGGCGGCCGGCACGACUGCCGGACUUGAGCACGGUAGGGGCAGAUAGAAUUCCCGGUGUAGCGGUGGAAUGCGUAGAUAUCGGGAAGAAUACCAGUGGCGAAGGCGUUCUGCUGGGCCGUUGCUGACGCUGAGGCACGACAGCGUGGGGAGCAAACAGGAUUAGAUACCCUUGUAGUCC
rnacentral:rRNA from 1 species